GACGAACGCUGGCGGCGUGCUUAACACAUGCAAGUCGAGCGGAGCGGCGAACGGGUGAGUAACGCGUGAGUAACUGCCCCCCUCUCUGGGAUAACAGUUGGAAACGGCUGCUAAUACCGGAAAGUGGGGGAUGACUCGCGUCCUAUCAGCUUGUUGGUGGGGUAGUGGCCUACCAAGGCGACGACGGGUAGCCGGCCUGAGAGGGCGAACGGCCCCAUGGGGCGUAGGUACGGCCCAAAAGGCAAAGGGAGGCAACGGUGGGGAAUAUGGCACAAUGGGGGAAACCCUGAGGCAGCAACGCCGCGUGCGGGAUGACGGCCUUCGGGUUGUAAACCGCUUUCAGCCAUGACGCGGUAGUGGCAGAAGAAGCACCGGCUAACUACGUGCCAGCCGCCGCGGUAAUUC
rnacentral:rRNA from 1 species